GCCGGAUGAUCCCGUAGCUGGUGUGAGCGGCGGCGGCGGGGAGAGACACUUCCCUUCCUGCUCGGCCGGACGUCUUUGUCCCUGAAACUCGAGCGAGCGCUUGUCAAACUCGACGCCGACGUGAGCCGAGCCGAGCCGAGCUGUGACUGGCUGCUGGUUUGGGGUGUGGAAAUCCCCUCACGUCACGUCCCAAACGGGAAACCCCCGCGAGGCAGCCAUUUAUUUGCCAUAAUGCCAGAGUUCACCUUUUCCUGGAGACAUGAGAGGUGAUUUCUCCUGGUUGCAUCACGCGGGGAGGCAGCGUGUCUCCUCCUCUCCCGCAGGAGCAGUGAGGAGAGCUCCCCGCUUCAAGCAUUAACACCUCAUCAUCAAAACCCCACCAACACGCGCUCUGCACGCCUGGCCGCCUUACUUUAAAGUGGGAAUGUGCUGUCUUCGAGCGUCACCAUAAACAAGGUCUGUAAUGAUCGGCCUCACGAGUUACCAGGCGCAACACUGCCACCCACAGGCCAAACAGAGUACACACACCAUUAGGAAGAAAUGGAAAGCGAAAGCUCAUCCGUUUACAAGAAGAGCCAGCGUUUAACAGAGGCCAUCAAUAAAAAUAUCACAAAAGUGGCGUGUACAGAAAUGGUACCCAGCCCAGCCUGUUUGGCUCAAGAUAUCCGUGUGUGCUUUCCAAACGGAACACAUGCUAAAACAGGGGGUUUGAAGAGCCAAAAGCAGCCAGGGCCACUCACUGCAGAGGAUGACUUUAUUUGGAUGUGCCCACGCUCAUCUUAUUAUUAUGAAACUGUAAUGUGCAACUAAAAUUGGUGAUCUAGUGGUGUGAUGAGUAAUUAUAUAUACACAGUGUCUGUGUGAGGGUUACAUUGUUUGUAGAAAUAUUUCAUAAAUUAUGUCUUGAUGAAUAUUUCCAUUUGUCACCUUAUUUGAAUGUCAACACUGGACAAUCCACAUGAAGUGUCACAUCUCCUUUUAAGGGCAGAUGUGGAUGGUGCUAAAUCAAUCAUCAUCUUGCUUCACAGGAAUCACAGUAAUCUGAAGAUCUGCUUGUACUAUUGACCAAAGCUGAUUAGAGCUGGAAGGAAUUAAUUACAAUCACUGUUGUUACUUCAGUUGAGUAGCUUUUUCACAGCAUUUGAGGGCUUUUUUAAAGUCAGCAAUGUUACUUUUCCUUGUAAGUGCUUUUUGCUGAAUUGUACUUUAACAUUUUAAAUCACAUCCCCCAUUCACAUUUUGUUGUCCCUCU